GUUAAAAUGUCUUGCACAUGCUUUCUACUGUAGCCAGAGAUCAAGAAAGAUCUUGCUUUCCUGUUUGAAUUCUCCUCGAGCAGCUUCUUAAGCUGCACUGUUAGAACUUGUGUCUUCACUGAGCUCCUGUGCUAAAGGACCUGGUGGAUUUCCUUUUGUCUGGAAUGUUCUCCAUGGCAAUGUGGAGCUGCUCUAUCCCAGCAGCUUUGCCUGUGACCUCUCUUGAAAACCUCGCUGGUGUUUGUUCUUCACACCUGGCAGGUGCUCAGCAAGUCCCAGCUGAAGGUGGUUUGAAAAUGCAGCUGGUUUGUUGUUGUGCUCAGGGUCGCGUUGGUCCUGUGAGAAAUGAUCUGUUUGGCCAUGAGGAGUCUGCUGGCUGUCUUCAGUGGAAUCUCUGCCCUUAAAUCUCCACUCUGCAUGGCAUUUGUGUCCACCACUCCAGGGAGAUGUUACUUUUGGCUCGUGAAGUGCUGGGCAGGUAGGGAGCUCGAGUACAAAAUAUUUCUUCUGCACCAGGACACAAUAAAAUAUUGUGAGUAUGAGUCUGUUAAAACA
rnacentral:lncRNA from 1 species